rnacentral:rRNA from 1 species
CCUACGGGGGACAGCAGUGAGGAAUAUUGGUCAAUGGACGCAAGUCUGAACCAGCCAAGUAGCGUGAAGGAUGACUGCCCUAUGGGUUGUAAACUUCUUUUAUAUGGGAAUAAAAUGUUCCACGUGUGGGAUUUUGUAUGUACCAUAUGAAUAAGGAUCGGCUAACUCCGUGCCAGCAGCCGCGGUAAUACGGAGGAUCCGAGCGUUAUCCGGAUUUAUUGGGUUUAAAGGGAGCGUAGGUGGAUUGUUAAGUCAGUUGUGAAAGUUUGCGGCUCAACCGUAAAAUUGCAGUUGAAACUGGCAGGCUUGAGUACAGUAGAGGUGGGCGGAAUUCGUGGUGUAGCGGUGAAAUGCUUAGAUAUCACGAAGAACUCCGAUUGCGAAGGCAGCUCACUGGACUGCAACUGACACUGAGGCUCGAAAGUGUGGGUAUCAAACAGGAUUAGAUACCCUGGUAGUC